AAUGAGCGGUGCCAUGUCCGCGCCAGGAUCUGAACCAGCGAAACCAGGGGCUGCUGCAGCGGAGCAGGCAAACUUACGCACUCGACGGGGAGGCCCCUCCUACAGUCUUUCACAUUUUCGUCCUUACAUCUCUGCCUAACCCUGGAACAGCCUGAUUUGACCGUCCUCCUCCCCCACACGCCUGGGCCAAUGCAACAGAGACCUCCUUGCAGCGUCUUGGUCCCUAAAGACCACGGCAGAAACUGAAGGUAAAUCUGGGGAGAAUCAGUGAGUUUUAAGCAAGCUGCCAUACUGUUUUCAAGCUUACUUUCUAAUUUUCUUUUAAACUCUACUCAUCUUAUAUCCUCAUAAAAUCAUUCCUUGGCAACUCACUUGGCAAUUUACUCCUUGUCAAUUCAGUGAAAAACAGAAGACAGGUGAAAACGACUAGGGAAGUGGUAUUGGAUACAUUGCAAUAUUCAUUUUGUUUCAGAGGCAAACCCUCUAUAAGGCAACUGUUGGAGACACCGUGAUUUUCACCAUGUUCAAACUCCACCAGGAUUCUCAUUGAGCCUCUCGUAGUGGUUUCUAAUCUUUUAAUAAAUGAGCAAUGUUGUUAUUAAUAGCUAUAUUACCAUUCCCCAAACCCAUUCCUACUCCCAACCCUGAAAGUAACUUAGCACAUUGUUAUUUUCUCCAAGAAUUUGCUUGCAAUCUAGUCUUUACAUACUGUCUCAAAAUAAUUUGUUUCCCUUCCUCUAAGAAUUUUUCAGUUGAUGAAAACUUGUACUCUUUGGCAUCACAAACUGCCUUGCUCAAGCCCAGACUGCGCCUGGACCACCCAGGGAAUUAAUCACAGCGUGGUGUGUGACAAGACACACUCUCCACAGACUGCUCAGAAGUUGCAUUUCUUCAUGAAGAUAAAGUACUAAAGGCUCCACAUCAUUUGCCAUCUGUAGAAGUAAGGCCUUCCUUGUCAUUUCUAGCAUUUUAAUCCUGUGAGUCUGGAUUUCAUUUCUUUCCAGUUUCACAGGAAACUAGAAUGACUGCAUUAAUCCCAAUCCAUUGAAAGCACAGUUUCUAGUUUUCCUCCUUCCCACACAUAUCAGAAGAGGUCAUCUGAAUGAGAUGUAGGCCAAUACAGACCUGGAGCCCUCUACUCGCAGAAUUGCCAUUUAGUCUAGCCCAAAAACUUUUUCUGAACCAUUUGUGCUAAGAGAUCCAGAAGGAGAACUUGUUUUUAAAGUAAACUUAAAGUAAUAAUUGAUGUAAACUUCUAUUGCAUAUAAAUACGCUUUGAGGGCUAUGAGCUGAUCUAGAUCAUGUUUGAAUCAUUAUAAUAAUGAUUUGUGGCAAUAACUCUAAUACACUGUGAUGUUAAUUCAGUUUGUUUACGUCUUGCUGAAGGUGUUGAGAGGAGGUAGCUAAUAAAGAUAUACCACCAAAGA